rnacentral:rRNA from 1 species
CUACGGGACGCAGCAGUGGGGAAUCUUAGACAAUGGGGGAAACCCUGAUCUAGCCAUGCCGCGUGAGCGAUGAAGGCCUUAGGGUUGUAAAGCUCUUUCAGCUGGGAAGAUAAUGACGGUACCAGCAGAAGAAGCCCCGGCUAACUCCGUGCCAGCAGCCGCGGUAAUACGGAGGGGGCUAGCGUUGUUCGGAAUUACUGGGCGUAAAGCGCGCGUAGGCGGAUUGUUAAGUCGGGGGUGAAAUCCCGGGGCUCAACCCCGGAACUGCCUUCGAUACUGGCAAUCUUGAGGUCGAGAGAGGUGAGUGGAAUUCCGAGUGUAGAGGUGAAAUUCGUAGAUAUUCGGAGGAACACCAGUGGCGAAGGCGGCUCACUGGCUCGAUACUGACGCUGAGGUGCGAAAGCGUGGGGAGCAAACAGGAUUAGAUACCCGAGUAGUC